rnacentral:tRNA from 1 species
GGGUGUUUAGCUCAGUUGGGAGAGCGCCUGCCUUACAAGCAGGAUGUCGGGGGUUCAAGUCCCUCAACGCCUAUCA